CGAAUAACAUUUUGAUUUUUAAUCGACGUUUCGACUAGUUUGUAGUCAUCCUUCAUAAUCCUGAGGAUGACUACAAACUAGUCGAAACGUCGAUUAAAAAUCAAAAUGUUAUU
rnacentral:miRNA from 1 species